rnacentral:tRNA from 1 species
GCCGGGGUCGCCUAGCCUGGUUAGGGCUAGAGCCGCCAAGGGGCGCCGGACUCAUAAUCCGGUUUACCCGGGUUCAAAUCCCGGCCCCGGCA